rnacentral:rRNA from 1 species
AGUGAACGCUGGCGGUAGGCCUAACACAUGCAAGUCGAACGGCAGCACAGUAAGAUCUUGCUCUUACGGGUGGCGAGUGGCGGAUGGGUGAGGAAUACAUCGGAAUCUACUUUUUCGUGGGGGAUAACGUAGGGAAACUUACGCUAAUACAGCAUACGACCUACGGGUGAAAGCAGGGGAUCUUCGGACCUUGCCCGAUUCAAUGAGCCGAGGUCGGAUUAGCUAGUUGGCGGGGUAAAGGCCCACCAAGGCGACGAUCCGUAGCUGGUCUGAGAGGAUGAUCAGCCACACUGGAACUGAGACACGGUCCAGACUCCUACGGGAGGCAGCAGUGGGGAAUAUUGGACAAUGGGCGCAAGCCUGAUCCAGCCAUACCGCGUGGGUGAAGAAGGCCUUCGGGUUGUAAAGCCCUUUUGUUGGGAAAGAAAAGCAGCAGGUUAAUACCCCGCUGUUCUGACGGUACCCAAAGAAUAAGCACCGGCUAACUUCGUG